CCCUGAUCCUGUUCCUCGGGCCCCAGGCCUCCAUGCUCCUAACAAGUGAAGACCAGGCUGGCAGUUAGGAAGACCUCUCAACUGCCUUAUGAUGAAAAGACACAAGUGGAUCCAGACCCAGAACGGCUCAUCUUUCAGUCCAAGUUUGCAGAGCCAGCAUAUGACCUGUGAGGCGCUUGUCCUGCGUCCUGGUCCCAAUUUGAUCGGCUCCCACUGCCCAGCCCAUGUCUGCCUGGAUCCCAGGUUUUUUUCAACCUUUUCGCCUGUGACCCUGGACGGCCCUGCAGAGCCUGUGACGCAGUGAGUGGUGUCUGUCCUCAGGGCUCCCCUCCCUGCUGCUAAAGCCCCAAACAGGGACUGUAUUUUCCCUGGGGCCUAAGGACAGCCGAGCCUGAGCCUGGGGAAGUGGUCGGAUCCACAGUGUUAGGGAACUUAGAGGAACAGGUCUAGGCAUCUCCAGUACCAUCUCCUUUCCCAAAGAGCAAGGGAGAGCCCAGGGCCCAGUUGGUAGCAGCUGCCAAUAGCCAGCCCCGUGGGCACUGAGUACAGGAGGUACUGGAGUGGUUAGUUUAAAGCUGAAUACCGGCUAGUGGCUGGACCCAGACACGCACAUCAGCGUGGACACGGGCCACCUAGGCAGUGAGCAAAAGUUCCAAGGCCAAGCAGCUCAAGAGGUCGGUGCAGGCACUAGGUCCACCACACUUGGGGGGGGGGGGCGGGGGGGGGCACAGGCAACAGAGGACCUGCCCCAACCCCUCAGGACAGAGGCUUACAGUGGGUGGGCCUGGGCCUUCUAGAAAGUUCUCUGAGAAUAACAGAUGUGAUGAUAGGGAGUACCAACCAAGACUUAAGGGCUGGGUAAGAUGCAGCACUAUUUGGAGCCCACCGCUGGGUACCCCAAUCCUUAGUGCAGAGUGCUCCCGGGCCAGCGGCCCUCCCUCUGGGGCGGGGCCAACCAACGCCCAGCUCCCGGGUAAGAACUCCAGGCCUCCAAGCUGUCCCCUUCCCCCCCACCCCCACCCCACCCCCGUGCUCUCUGCCCCCACUGUGAGGCCUGUUUUCUCCUGGUUCCUCCAGGGAGGAGGGAAGAUAUUCCUUAUAAGGAAGCCCUAGCUUCUGCAGGGCACUUGGGGAGGGAGUGGGACCGGACUUGUGUCCCGCGCGACCCGCCCAUUUCCCGCUCUUUUCGUGGGCGCCCAGACGGCAGACUGAGGUUUCCUUUUGUUUAAUGAAGCGUUCAAUUGCACGUGAAUCUUCAGUGAAGUCCUGAGCGCGACGUGUACUUGUGCGUGUGUGCGGGGCGUCCCAGCCCCCAGCCUGCACACUCCUCCCAUUCCUCCCCGGUCCUCCGGGCUCCAGUCUUUCCUGUAACCUUCCAGCCAAUCAGUCUUCAGGCCAGGUCCAAGUCCCAACUUGCCCAAGAGCGGAGCCUCGGCAGGGAGCCGACUCGGCGGGAGCAAAGUCAGGUGACCCGGGGGGGGGGGGGGGCUCGGAGGGUGCUCACCGCCAGCCCCAAGGCUAGGAUGUGCACCAUGACAGCAGCCAACCCGACAGCCUGGGGACCCGGGGCGUCGGCCGAGCUGCAGGGGAAGGAGGGUCUUAUGGGGCCCCCACUAAAGGAGGGAGUGCCAGGGUGAAGGAGGAUAGGAGGGGCAUUGCUAAUGCUGUUUCCCUAAACCUAGGGAGGCUCAGGGCACAGCAGGACGCGUUGCUAGAGAGACCCUUUCCUCUAGUCACCUCUUCUGGGUCCGAAACUGUCGGAAGAGCCACUGGACAACGAAGGGCCACAGGAUCAAGAAGAGCAGCGUGGGAGCCGAAAGCCCUAGGGGCCAAAGCCGAGUCCUGGGCGGCCUCUGCAGCCAAGAGGGAAGGCGUCAGAAGCCAGCCCAGGAAACCAGACAUGAUUAGACCCCAAAGUGGGACACUCUGCAUGCCCCAUGCCAGGACAAGUUUAGGCUGAGGAAUGGUGGAUGCUGAGCUGAAUGGCCUAGGUCUGGCACCUGCCUUCUUGCAAAGUCAACAACAGCAAUAAUGAUGCCGAACUAUGGACACUGUAACCCUGUACCGGACCACAGCAGCUGGAAAGGCAGUUUCACGACAACUAGGAAAAUCUGAGCUUGGACUGGCUAUCUGGUGAUACUAAAGAAUUGUAAUGAAAUAUAUUCAGAGUAGAACUUUA